GCUAGUGACAUCAGCAUCAUCUACUCACCUGCUAGUGACAUCAUGCUCCUCUUCACCUGCUAGUAACUUGCCUGCUUUGUGAUAAGCAAAUUUUGCUAUCUUCUAAUUCUGAACCCAUCAGAAAUCACCAACCCCUCCUGACAUAUCUUUCCAGUUUGGGUUUUGCAUGGUCCCCAAUAAACUCAACGUGGGAUGCCUCUCCCAUUUCUUUCACAUCAGGGCAAUUAACCUAUACCAGGCCACAGAGAGGUUCUUCAUUUGGGUCCACUACUUUGCCAUCUGCACCGAGGUGUGGAGCAUCAGGGUGGAUGAUGAGACUAGAUGGAGUAACGUUAACGUCAAAGGUCUCCUCAUAGCGGUGAAGAACCUCUGGCUCAAGUUUCAAUCCUCUACACAUCGCUCUCUAGAGACCCUGAAAGAUGUUUACACACACUGUUUAA